rnacentral:lncRNA from 1 species
CGACUGGACUCUGCUACUCAUGUCUGAAUAUGGCUAAAGGAGUGACUUGGCUUUUCUAGGCUCCAGUUCUUUAAAUACUAAAUAAGAGCAACAUAGUGGACAACUAGAUAUCCAACCACGUAACUUGGUGACUUGGAAGUUCUUGUGUCUAUGCUUCAUGGAUGGGAAUAGGAGCAAGAAGUUGUUCUUAGUGAUCUCCUUGAUCUACCAAGAAGAGGCCUAAUCUCUGACCUGGAAGAACAACCUCUGAUAAGUGGCUUUGUUCAACUGUUUGGAGUGUGACUCUUAUGUGCUAAGAGAAUCUGAAUGUAUUUUGCCAAAUCGAAUCAAACUUUUUAUACAGAAGACAAUAAGGAAGUUGGUUAGUGAAUCAAACUCUGGCAGUAGAAGAGAACAUAGUGUACAAACACUAUGCUGCCAUGUUUGCCAGCCCUACGACAGACACAGCAGGAAGGCCUGGGAUGAGUGGAGUGAUCAAACACCAAGGCAGGAAAGAGGCCACAAUGGAAAGACCCACUCUCUACAUGAGGGUCCAUCCAGGAGGAGAAGCCCAAACUCCAGAGUCUGCUGAGCAUUCUGCACAAGAGGCAGUUCAAGGAGACAAGAAAGAAGAAAUGGAUCUUUAAAAGUACCAUAGCCAGGGUUUCAUGAAGUAGGAAGAUUAUUUUGAAUAUCAAGAACAAUCACAGGAAAAAUAAUCAAUUGAGGGACAAGGGAUCUUCAUGAAAGAGGGGACUCCUGCACGUCUCAGUGUUCAAAGCUAGCAUCAUGGCAGAGGAACAUCGGCUUCUUCAUGGUGCUUCCAGCAGGUUGGCAAGAUAAUCGCUGGGUUACUUCCAUGUACAGAGAGGGAGGGAGCACCCCAAUGCACAAGCUCACUUCCAGGCUUUCUGUCAUGUGUGCCAAUGUUCCAUCAACGGAAGUAAAUGGCACGGCCAAGCUCGGAUAUGAUAGGGAGAGAAGUUAGAGCUCUUGUGAUGAAACUGAAGGGAGGAGGGGUUACAUGUGCACAUGUGCACAACAUUGCUUUCUGUUAUCACUCUUCAUCCUGCUUCAACCCUUGCAGGACGAGAGGGAUUAGGUGAGCCUCUGUGAAUAACUAUCUAGAUUAACUGAGUUGGGAACACCUAGCCUAAGGAGAAUGGCACCAUUUCCAAGGCUGGAUUGCUGGAUUGCUGGAUUGCUGGAUUGCUGGAUUGCUGGAUUGCUGGAUUGCUGGAUUGCUGAGUUGCUGAAUUGCACAAAAUGGAAGAAACCGACUGGAAGGGGAAACAGUUUGCCAGUUGUUCUUGAAAACGAUGCAACAUGAUCUGGAGCUCUUGGUGCUGUGAUUUUCCUUUCACUGUGGACUAUAAAUAUGACUCAAAACAAAUCCUUUCUCUCUUAAGUUGCUCUUGUCAGAAUAUUUUAAUCACACCAACAGGAAAAGCAACUAAGACAGUAGCCAGUAGCCAGUAGCUAUCGUUUUACUUUGGACUUUUGCCAACAAGAUAGAUAUCUACCUGGUAUCCUUGACUUUGUCUCUCAGUAUUCAAAGUCUGCAGUUUCUUUCUAUCUGGUUUGUAUGGAAUGCAUUAAUACACAACAAUGAUAAUUAUGGACCUCAGUGGAGCUAUUUCACAGAGACAGGAGAGUAGAGCCAAAGAAUUGAAUGGACUUGUGGUAUAGAUUCAGAAGAAUCUUAAAAAUUUUCCUCCUCCUCCCUCUCCCAUCAAAAAUAAGUUUGGAACUUUGAAGCUUGGAAAUAAAUAUCAGGUCUGCAUUUUAAGCAAGUUGGUUGUCCAUCUUACCAAAGACAGAUGGAUUUGCCUUGGAUCUUCAAGAACCAAAGGAUGAGCAUCCACAGGUUUUCAAGUGCUAGCACACAGAGAAACAGGCUCUGUAGUAUUCGGUGCUAGCCUUUCUGUCCCUAAAGCUGUAUGGUUUUUCCAUCUGCAACAUUGGUCUUUCAGCAUGUUGAAGAGCUCUCUGGAUGCCCAGGACUUCAAACAUACAAAUGCAUGAUUGACGUUCUGACCCUUUACUCAUCAAGGAAUGUUCCAUCAACCUUCUAAGCAUUCUACAUUAAUGACAUUUUAUGGAAAUAGAGUUGUUGCUGAUUUUGACCAUGAGCAAUAAGGAUCUGGAAUCAUGGAAGAAGGUCAUUUUGAAAGUCUAUUCUACUCGGGAAGAAUGAAGACCAAGUCACUCCUCCUUUUCCUGGAGGUGGUACACAGGUAUGAAGAAAGCAACUUUCUUAGGGUCUGAACCCCAGUCCAGGAGGAGCUCCUCUGGCGACAUCACAUUGGUGAACUCAGAAUUGUACUGCAAGAACAUCUGAAGAUGAUUCAGCAUCAGCAUGAGUCUCAAGAACAUCAUCAUGGAAUGUUUUCUUUAAGCUGACCAGUUUGCUGGAAUAAUCUACUUAAAGUAAGCCAGAAGAUCCUUCUGUUGUUUGCAGUUAAAGGCUCUGACUUACAGAAAACCUGAGUGGGCCGCAAGCUGAAGGAUGAUGGUGUUAAGGGAAGAACAUGCAACAGAAUGAAGAGGAAUAGCAUGAUCCUUCAAACAUACCUGUUAAUGGAAAUUCUUUGAAUAAAUGAACUUGAAAU